UGACUAUAUAGAUAUACUACGUAUAUGGACUGCUGAUUCUUAUCAAUUUAACGUUGGUUAUAUGGAGAAAUCAUGUAAGCAGAUUUUCAAAAGUCCACUCAACGAAAAACGGUGUUCGUUGCCUGAAAACGCUGCUCAUUGGCUCUCACAGUACGGAACCUUGGAUGCGCGCGUCACCUCGCGUCAUCCUCGCAUACAAUUGCACGUAAUCUUCGACUGAAACCCUGGUUUUUGUUGCGUGGACUUUUAUGUUUACAUUUUACACUUUGAUAAGGGUUAGCAGUCCAUAUACGUAGUAUAUCUAUAUAGUCAAAGAGAAAAACUAUAAUAAUUAAUAAUCGAAAUUUCAAAUUUAGAGUCAAACUGGAUUGUCUUUUUUCUUCAUGUUAUGAAUAAUUAUUUGUAAUACGGUAUUUAUGCAUUUCUUUCUCCUUAAGAAUGAGGAUGUGUAUUUUAGAAAAUUUUUCUCUAGUCUUGUCUCCGUACGGGAAGAACAAUUUGAAUGUAAAUUAGUUUACCUAACCAUGACGACUCUGUACCAGUUUUCGAUUCCAUCGUAUUUGAUCAAAGCACUCGUCUUUCUCUGGGCUGCCCGAACACCUGCUCCCAGCUGUUGGAAAAACUUUGAUACAUCACCUAAAAUGAAACGAAAAAGGAAAACUUUACGUUGGAAAAACUGAAAUAAGUUGAUCAUAUGGCUCGAUUAUAAUGUUUCGAAGAAUAUUUUGAAGAAAAGAUGACUAUUCGAACAAAUGAAUGUCCUCGGAUUCUUAUCCCUGGAUUAUUGUUAGUGAAAUCAAUUUAUAUUGAGUCCUGAUCAUCUGUUACAAGUUGACGCGAGUACUACACAUGGAAACCCUAGAAACUAUUCGAAUCCAGUGCACUUUUAGAGUAUCUACUCAACAUUGCAGAUGUUAUUAUUGUAUUAUUCAAAAACCAAGAGAAGAAGAACAAACAUUCCUACUCUAUGUGAUGAUUUACACCUCCUAUUUAAAAUUAGUUUGUUGCAUUAUGGCGCCACUUCCCGUUUUGGAAAGGUUUACGACAAUUUAUAAAAAAAUUGAAAAUCGAGUAAUCAAAAUAAACAAAUUCAAUUGAACUAGAAUAAGAACUAAGUUGAUCAAAAAUGAAGGUUGUAUGUAGUUUGCUUACUACGUAGGUAUAUUGAUGAAAAUGGCCAUCGAAGACAAGUAUAAAAUCAGUAAAUUUUAUGAAUUUAAGAAUUCAAAGUUGAUUGUUCCGUAGUUACAAUUAUUAAUCAAUUUGGUUUUUUCUGUCAGUUUCCCAAGCUGCUCCCUUUAGUGUAGUAUUUAUUCUACAUUUUGAUCGAUUAUAUCUGUGUAUGAUGUAUUAGGGUGGACCGCCAAAAAAAGUCAGCGAAUUUUGAUUAAAUUUUGCAGAGACAAGUUACAGCUACCCACAAAAAAUUUUAGCGCCGGAGGUGAUCCCGGGGGGAAGAUUUGGACUCCCAAAAAGAGGGCAUUUUCGAAAAAAUUAUGGGUUUUUCGCUCCUGUCGCUACACAGCCGGUUUUGGGAAAAAAUGGCUUAGUCCCAGAUGAAAGUAUUUGAGAUGCUGCAUCGAUUUAUGCUAUUGCCGUUAAAAUCCAAGAUCACUUUGUUGAGGGUUCUAUUGAGCGGUUGAAAAUUUGCAAAUCUCUUAUUUUUAGAUAAAUUCGCAAUUUGAAAAUUUUUUCUUGACAAAUAUUUCGCAUAAAUCAUGUCAAAUUGAGAGAUAUCAUUCCCAAAACCGGAGAAAUAUUUCGGAAUGCAAUAUAAGGCCAAUUUUUUGAUUAUUUUUAACAACUUCUGAAGUUUUUCAUUCUUUAAAAUUGGCAAACGAUCAGAAAUUUGGCAUCAUUGCGUUCUGAAAUGUUUCCCAAGUUUCAGGAACGAUAUGUUUCAAUAUUUUGACAUGGUUAAUGCGAACUAUUUGUCAAGAAAGAAUUUUCAAAACACGAAUGUACCCAAAAAUAAGCGAUUUGCAUAUUUUCACCCGCUUAGUAGAACCCUGAAACUUAAAAGUGAUCUUGGAUUUAUGAUAACGUUAUGAUUGUUAUGAAGUUAUGAUAAUCGGUAAUGCUGCUUUAAUAGUCGAUUUAUUUUAUUAAAAUAGGUACUUCAGCGUAAUGUCAGAGUUCGCUGUUUUUAAUUUUGAAAUUGUUUCAGAUGUGUUUACUAAAUGAUAUUUAAUUUUAAAUUUAUAAAUUGAAUUGAAAAAACUGAUUUUUAUUUUCUUCUAAAAUGUUUCUGUUAUCGAUUGUAAAAUACUUUGUUUCAAAACACGAAUCGUUGGUAGGUUUUUAUCCAAUCAGUUUUUACAGAUCUGAUUUUUUUUCUUCAGACGAAUGUUUAAUGGAUUGAAAAUUUUAAAAAUGAAGAUCUACGUAUAUGAUGAACCUUUGUUGUUCCUAUUUAAAUUUAAUUGAUUUUGAUUAAUUAAUCUCAAUAUUUUUUGAAGUGGCAUUAAAGUUGGUAAUGAUCGAAAACACGUUUCCGCAACGUAAGCAAAAUCAAAGAUAAGUACCUACCUACAUUUUGUUUGUUCCAUUCGCUGGGUGAUAUUUAUGGAAUGGAAUUAUAAGUGUUGGUUACCAAAGUGUCGUUAACUCAAGCCCGGCUGAAUUCUUCGGCAAGGUUUAAAAGACAUUAAGGUGGUGGAGAUAAAAUGUCUUCUUUUUUUUUUAGCAAGUAAGUGGUACGUAUUAACGAACAUAUUGUACAAAGACGAUUCUCCAAAACUCAGCGUUUUUUUAUCUUCUUUGUCCUGUUAGAAAAAAAAGUCAGAAGGAGGAAAAGAACACAUUCCAACUUGAAACAAGGGUAGGUACGUAAGCUGCGGCUAAACGACUGCAACUUUAAAUUGCUCUCACAUACAUUUUUUUUGCUAAUCAAACGACGGUGGUUACUAAACUGAAUGUUCAUUACAUGUCUCAAGUUAUUUUACAGUGUUUAAAAAUAUGUAAUACAAAACAAAAAAAAGUCAGAAUAUUUUUAAAAGUACCUACAAAUAAAUGAAUGCAUUUCAUCUCUUACAAAUGAAAAAUCCAUUAAAAUGCAGUCGAAAGAUGUGGACAGAGCUUUCCUCAAGUGAAAUAAGUAUCCAUCUUAAAUGAAAUGUUUUAAACUCUGUAUAAAUCAUGAAAAAUAUUAGAAAAUCCAUCCGCACAUCGCAUUCACUUUUUUAAUUCUUGACUAUAUCCAUAUCCGCCUACUUGACUGGAAACAUAAAAAAUACGCUUACUGUUAGCGUUUAUAGAGUUGUGUCCAAAAUCGAAAAAAUGUUUAGAAUCACUUGAGCGAACCGAAUUCAGUAGCGCAUUCAGCAGUAUUAGUAGAACUGAUAAGGAAACGCCUUCUUGAAGCAAUUGCAAUUCAAAGAUAGAAGUUUUAAAAAAACGUUUGGCGAUUGGUUUUUCACUGGUCAUAAAAAACACAAUCUAUAAAAAUCAACAGUUAACAGAGAAAAGGAGGAUCUUCGGUUUGAAAAGAUCUUUGCUCCCGAAAUCUAAAUGAUUAGAAAUCUUAACACUUUUCUGCUUUAUUUUCCUAUUUUCCCCUUCUUUUUUUACGCCAUCUCACGAUCAAGAUCGUACGUAAUACACAAUAUACUUUUACCAUUAGAAAAAAGAAAUAAGUAGGUGCCUACUAACAUUGUGUUUUCUUGUUGUAAAAUGGUAUAUGUAUUUUUUUUCAGCAGUAAUUUUCAACGAGAAAUAAAUUCAAAGACCAGUAACCAGUAUGUGUAAUUUUUAUUUUCUGUUAAAUUUUGCAAGUGGGUACCGUAGGUAUUCGGUUUACUUACUUCAAAUUGGUAUAGGUAAAUUCGCACAAGUACCAUUUGUACCUACGAUUUUGUUUUUUAAGCUGAAACUUAUAGGUACUUAUUAUAUCAUAUCAUAAUAUUGUUUUUACUUGUCUUUCUCGCCAUUCAAUUCAAUCAGGUUUGUAAGCCAAAAAUGGUAUAAAAAUAAUUAAUUAAACUCGUCUUGAAAUAUUUAAUUAGUGCGGGCGUUUAAUUAGAAUUUUUAGGAAGCUAUAAUAUUAAACGACCACUAAAGGAAAAGAAGAUUAAACUGAGAAAUUUGCGGUUUUAAGAACGAAAUACACAGUAGAAAGUAGAAAGUGGUAGAAAAUGAACGAAAACAAUUAUAAAACUGCAUGGGCGUCGCGAAGAACGAAAGGGUCGCUUGUAAUUAAGAUGGGUAUGUUAAUAUUAACUUCCUCGAAAGUGGAAUCAGUGGGAACUGGGGGUCUGAAUUUAAAGUUAUAGGGGGGCUUAGAGUGAUAUAUGACGGUGUGUGGGAAAAGAAGUAGCAGGGAGAGCGGAGAAUACCGAAUAAACCAUUUCAAUUAGUAUAAAACUCAUUUGGUUUAGAUGUUCCCCUAAUUUCCACUCUAUGCCUUUUCUAUCUCUAUCUUUUUUCCAGAUAUGAUGUCAUUUCUUCUGUUCUCUCUCGCAUAUGGAUAUUACAUUCAUUCCUAUUAUUCAUUCAGCCAUUCGUUUCUCUUUUUCUUCGUUCAUCCCUUUUUAUCGCAACCACCGUACAUUCAAUUAUUUCACCAAUAUUAAUUUACCUGGAUAAGUUAUUCUACCAGUUAGCCUACUUGAUUGUCUUGGAAUAGAAAGCUUACGUAGCAUGUUUCGUUCAGUGAAGGUCUUACUUAGUCAACACUUGACUUAUUUUAUAAGAAGGGUUGCCUAUACUUACCUUUAUAGGUACUUAGUAUAUCGAUUCGUAAAUCUAUAGAUUUGUAUCAUAUGAGGAAAAAAUUACUGUGAAUUUAAUUAAAAUGUAGGUACCUACUUGUAUAAUGCAGCCUGUAAAUGUACAGCUUCGUAGAUAUGUAGGUUGGCGGGGUUUGAGUUUUCCCUUAUUUAAUUUUUAUCUCUAUCAUAGUUUUAUAAUAAACCACAUUAAUGGCUUGAAAUGAUAAUUAAACUAACUCGACCAGGAAAUUCCCCCAGAGAUUUUAUAACGAACAGAGCUCUAAAUUUUUUCUCAGCUACUUAUCGUCCGUUUAAUUAAUUAACUGCUUCCUUUUUUUUUUGUCAUUGUAAAUCUCCUUUCUUUGAAAAAUCAAAAAUGAUUUUUAAAAAAUGACACUCAGCCGGCAAAACUUAACAGAGAAGUAAGUAGUAAAGUAAAGUAAAGAAAUGAUACUGAAAAUCUGCCAAAUUAUGGUCAGAUUAUGAUUUUUUUGCUAGGUACCUUACCUACAAGUUAUAGGCAAGAUCAAGUGCGAAGAUGAUUUAUUUAUUUUCAAAAAUAAUACGUAGGUACAUAUUUAAUCUACCUACCAAGGAACUUGAAUAUCAUGCAGGUAUAAUUUUUUGUAAAACAAUGUAAGUAAUGGCAUUUAAUUAGUCUGUCUGAGAGGGGAAAAACUCUCAAUAGCUAGGCCAAAAAAGAAAUGAAACCAAUGCAUAAGAUAAAUGGCACAUAAAUAAAAUAUAAAUCUAAUUCAAUUUCA